AAAAGACAUGCGAAGGGGUUGAAGGAAUUUCAUAAAUAUGGGAUGUAUGGGUGUUUGACAUGUUGGCCGAAACCCAGUCUCACCUAAGAAUCUACUCAAAUUUUACUUGAUUACCCCAACACGAGGGAUAAGCGCGCGCUGUCUCUUUUACCCGUCCUUCGACUCCUCCUCUACUGUUCUACUAUAGUCUUCUUCCCCCCACUCCUGUGUGUGUGUGGUUCUAGCAGUGGUACGAUGGAGGACCCUGGGCGUAAAGAUAAGGGUGGGGGCACCGGCCGCAACGUCGUGGACAUCUGCUUUCUGAGCCGUUACAACUUGGGCUCGAAAGAUUUGGUCCUGGAGGAGGACGACGACAGGAUGCAGCGGUUGAAAGCCAGCUAUGCGUCUCGUGGGUCGGCGCAUGAAAGAGAGAGAGAAAGGGAGAGAGAGAGAGAUAGGGAGAUCCUUGAAUUUGAUUAGUUUUCAUUUUGUUUUUUCUUUAAUUGUUCAAUCUAUAUGAGUAUGUGGCCUAAGAUCACAGCAUUGAUUUAGUUCGAAUAAUGGAUUAGUCUUGCUGGUGCGCCAAUAGAAUAAAAUAAUUUUCAGUGAA